rnacentral:rRNA from 1 species
GACGAACGCUGGCGGCGUGCCUAAUACAUGCAAGUCGAACGGACCUUGCUUGGACGGAGUGGAGUACUUGUACAAAGCGAAGACUGAGCGCUGGUUAGUGGCGAACGGAUGAGUAACACGUAGGUAACCUACCGAUAAGACGAGGACAACUCAUGGAAACGUGAGCUAAUACUGGAUGUGGUAUAUGGAAGGCAUCUUCUAUAUAUUAAAGGAGCUUUUGGCUUCACUUAUUGAUGGACCUGCGGCGUAUUAGCUAGUUGGUAGGAUAGCAGCCUACCAAGGCAAUGAUACGUAGCCGAUCUGAGAGGAUAAACGGCCACACUGGGACUGAGAUACGGCCCAGACUCCUACGGGAGGCAGCAGUAGGGAAUUUUCCACAAUGGACGAAAGUCUGAUGGAGCAACGCCGCGUGUGUGAAGAAGGUUUUCGGAUUGUAAAGCACUGUUGUAUGGGAAGAAUAAGGUGAGAAGGAAAUGGCUCAUCGANGACG